UGGGGAAUAUUGCACAAUGGGCGCAAGCCUGAUGCAGCCAUGCCGCGUGUAUGAAGAAGGCCUUCGGGUUGUAAAGUACUUUCAGCGGGGAGGAAGGAAGUAAAGUUAAUACCUUUGCUCAUUGACGUUACCCGCAGAAGAAGCACCGGCUAACUCCGUGCCAGCAGCCGCGGUAAUACGGAGGGUGCAAGCGUUAAUCGGAAUUACUGGGCGUAAAGCGCACGCAGGCGGUUUGUUAAGUCAGAUGUGAAAUCCCCGGGCUCAACCUGGGAACUGCAUCUGAUACUGGCAAGCUUGAGUCUCGUAGAGGGGGGUAGAGUUCCAGGUGUAGCGGUGAAAUGCGUAGAGAUCUGGAGGAAUACCGGUGGCGAAGGCGGCCCCCUGGACGAAGACUGACGCUCAGGUGCGAAAGCGUGGGGAGCAAACAGG
rnacentral:rRNA from 1 species